rnacentral:rRNA from 1 species
GCGUAAUAGCUCACUAGUCGAGUCGGCCUGCGCGGAAGAUGUAACGGGGCUCAAACCAGGCACCGAAGCCGCGGAUUUGCACUUAGUGCAAGUGGUAGGGGAGCGUUCUGUAAGUCUGCGAAGGUGUAUCGAGAGGUAUGCUGGAGAUAUCAGAAGUGCGAAUGCUGACGUAAGUAACGAUAAAGGGGGUGAAAAGCCUCCUCGCCGGAAGACCAAGGGUUCCUGUCCAACGUUAAUCGGGGCAGGGUGAGUCGACCCCUAAGGUGAGGCCGAAAGGCGUAAUCGAUGGGAAGCAGGUUAAUAUUCCUGCACGACUUGUAAUUGCGAUGGGGGGACGGAGAAGGCUAGGUGGGCCAGGCGACGGUUGUCCUGGUGAAAGUGCGUAGGCGGUACCUUUAGGUAAAUCCGGGGGUGCAACGCUGAGACACGAGACGAACACACUACGGUGUGGAAGCCAUUGAUGCCCUGCUUCCAGGAAAAGCCUCUAAGCUUCAGAUUACAAGUCAUCGUACCCCAAACCGACACAGGUGGUCGGGUAGAGAAUACCAAGGCGCUUGAGAGAACUCGGGUGAAGGAACUAGGCAAAAUAGUACCGUAACUUCGGGAGAAGGUACGCUCUUGUUGGUGAAGUCCCUUGCGGAUGGAGCUGACGGGAGUCGCAGUGACCAGAUGGCUGGGACUGUUUAUCAAAAACACAGCACUCUGCAAACACGAAAGUGGACGUAUAGGGUGUGACACCUGCCCGGUGCCGGAAGGUUAAUUGAUGGGGUUAGCGCAAGCGAAGCUCUUGAUCGAAGCCCCGGUAAACGGCGGCCGUAACAAUAACGGUCCUAAGGUAGCGAAAUUCCUUGUCGGGUAAGUUCCGACCUGCACGAAUGGCGUAACGAUAGCGGUACUGUCUCCACCUGGGGCUCAGUGAAAUUGAAUUUGCUGUUAAGAUGCAGUGUAUCCGCGGCUAGACGGAAAGACCCCAUGAACCUUUACUAUAGCUUUGCAUUGAGAUUUGGUUCUGUUUGUGUAGGAUAGGUGGGAGCCUGAGAAGUAGGGACGCAAGUUCAGAUGGAGGCGACGUUGAAAUACCACCCUGAUAUAAUUGAAUUUCUAACUAGUCCCAUGAUCUGGGAUAAGGACAUUGCAUGGUGGGUAGUUUGACUGGGGCGGUCUCCUCCCAAAGAGUAACGGAGGAGCGCAAAGGUACCCUAAUCACGGUCGGAAAUCGUGAGGUUAGCGCAAAGGUAGAAGGGUGCUUGACUGCGAGACGGACAGGUCGAGCAGGUGCGAAAGCAGGUCUUAGUGAUCCGGUGGUACCGAAUGGAAGGGCCAUCGCUUAACGGAUAAAAGGUACUCUGGGGAUAACAGGCUGAUACCGCCCAAGAGUUCAUAUCGACGGCGGUGUUUGGCACCUCGAUGUCGGCUCAUCACAUCCUGGGGCUGAAGCAGGUCCCAAGGGUUUGGCUGUUCGCCAAUUAAAGUGGUACGUGAGCUGGGUUUAAAACGUCGUGAGACAGUUUGGUCCCUAUCUGCCGUGGACGAUUGAUAUUUGAAGGGAGCUGUUCUUAGUACGAGAGGACCAGAAUGGACGAACCUCUGGUGUUCCGGUUGUCACGCCAGUGGCAUUGCCGGGUAGCUAAGUUCGGAAGGGAUAACUGCUGAAAGCAUCUAAGUAGGAAGCCUACCCUAAGAUUAGAUAUCACAUAACCCUUGAGGUUACUAAAGAGCCGUUCAAGACUAGGACGUUGAUAGGUUGGGUGUGUAAGCGCUGUAAGGCGUUGAGCUUACCAAUACUAAUUGCUCGUGAG